CCUACGGGAGGCAGCAGUGGGGAAUAUUGGGCAAUGGGCGCAAGCCUGACCCAGCAACGCCGCGUGAAGGAAGAAGGCUUUCGGGUUGUAAACUUCUUUUCUGAGGGACGAAGAAAGUGACGGUACCUCAGGAAUAAGCCACGGCUAACUACGUGCCAGCAGCCGCGGUAAUACGUAGGAUGCGAGCGUUAUCCGGAUUUAUUGGGUUUAAAGGGUGCGCAGGCGGAAGAUCAAGUCAGCGGUAAAAUUGAGAGGCUCAACCUCUUCGAGCCGUUGAAACUGGUUUUCUUGAGUGAGCGAGAAGUAUGCGGAAUGCGUGGUGUAGCGGUGAAAUGCAUAGAUAUCACGCAGAACUCCGAUUGCGAAGGCAGCAUACCGGCGCUCAACUGACGCUCAUGCACGAAAGUGUGGGUAUCGAACAGGAUUAGAUACCCUUGUAGUC
rnacentral:rRNA from 1 species